AGGGAAUUCCGGUGGCCCAGAGCCCUGGCAGAGGCUGCCACUGCGUUGAGCCCGUCACUUUGUUGAGUUUCGCGGUGUCGCUGUGCUUGGAAAGACAAUUUCCUUUUCAGCAGCACUGGUAUGGACUUUGGAUGAUCUUGCCUGCUUCUUCAUUUCUCUCUUUCUCAUGAAAGCCUUUCUCUUCUCGGCUGUCAGAAAUCUUGAAAGGUCAUACAAAAAGGCAUACGGAAAGAAGCCCAGCGAGAAGAGUUUUCCUGCUGAUGAAGACAGAAAAGGCACUGCAGCAGAUCCUGCUGGGACAGGUAGCAACUGUUCGUGUGAUUGCUAACAAAUUGAAUUUGUGGCGUCUUUGGUGUUUCUGUAUUUGAUGUCCUCGGUUCAUUGGACAACAGAGCCAUUGUUGGUGGCAGGAAAUAUCACUGUACAUUUAUACUGAAAGUCUGUAGUUCUGGUCCCAGGGAGAGAGCACGAGCGUUGAAACCUGCACCAGCAGCCCGGGCGAGGCGGCUCCUUGUGCUAGGGCGCCCUCUAGAGCCGGAGAGCGGAAGCGGCGCGGGCGGCGGGCGGCAGGCGGCGCCUCUGCACCCAAGAAGCGCUUACCCCCAAAACAUAUGCUGGGCCCCAGGUGCCUGCCCUGGGUAACCAGCACGAACGAACAGAGAUACCCCAGGCUGUGUAAAUCCUUGGUGAUCCCCUAGAUUCAUCCUUUGAGUUUUAAAACCGAGAAACUUGAUAUCCAGAGAAGAAAGACCCUUUUGAGGCCAGGAUUCCAUGGGAGGAAGACCCUCUCCUCAGCCCCUUAAUACCCACCCUCCCCAGCCAACAGGACCCUUGGGGAAGAAAACCCUCUCCCC
rnacentral:lncRNA from 10 species